GAACAGAUCAGAGUCUUAUUUGAUCAGAUGGUACAACAAACAGAGAAAUCUGCUUCAUGAGGGAGAAUCCUUAACUUUCAUUGCUAAUAGGUCAUUACCAGAAUAUUUGUGUGAAGGCACAGACAACCAUCAAUUAAAAACACCUUGGUUGCUUUAUAAACCUGUUUUAUUAGGUAGG
rnacentral:sRNA from 1 species